CUGAUGACAUGUGGGGGCUCAGCCAC
rnacentral:piRNA from 1 species